GGGAGUGAAAAGGCGUCUGGUGAGCCUCCUGGACUUCAAAUCCAGCGUGUCCGCUUAAAGCGGGCUGGUGGGUCCGAUUCCCAUUCACUCCCGCCA
rnacentral:tRNA from 1 species